CUUCACUUGGCACGACCACCACGUCCCCAACAGGGACGCUCACUUCGGCAUUUGCCAUCUCUCACAUGAAGUCGAAGGGUCGGGUCGAGCUCAGAUGGAACACAAAAUGAAACUGCCUGUAGUGCCUGGUUUCUGGACCAGUCAUUGCAAAAAACAGUGCCAGCUAGGUCAGAGUUAGUGUACACAGGCUGAGUUUUGGCUACAGAUGCAGAAGUGCAGAGAGAGUGGGUUUUAAGAUGAGGUCACUUUAUUUUCCCCUAGUUGCAAGAUUCCUAACAGGUAUUCUGAUGAUAUUGUCUUUUCCUAUCAGUAAAAUACUUGGCCCAGACCAUUUCUGCUGCGUGUAAGUAGUAGCAUAGGCCUGUGUUUCUGCCAUCAUAGAAAAAACUGAUAAAGGAAAGUGUUUUGCUGAAAACACCUCUGGUAUUGGCUGCGCUUGACUGGAAUUUUCUCUAGGGUUCACAUGGAAAAAUAUAAACAUAAUUUGAUUAGCAAAGGGACUGAUUUUGUUUCAUUAUCCUUGCCUUGAAAAAUUAUGGAGAGAGGAAAACAAAUUACAUCAUUUGUAUAUUGUGGUCCAGGCUUUAAUUCAGUCUUCCACAAAUUUGCCCCAGACUGUCUGGCUUUCCCUCUGGUCUUCUACAGUCUUAUCAUGCAUGACCUAAGAGUCUUCUCCUUUGCAAGCACUGACACGUGGAACAGCUUCCACAAAGGCUUCUACAUCAUUAACUCUCCCCAGGAAUGAUGCAGCUGGAGAGACCCAUGCUGACACUAAUGGACUGCUGGAGGCAGGGUUUUUUCGGUGACAGAUCUCCAGCUGCGGCAUUUCUUGCUAGGAGAGAGUAAGCCAAGACUAAGCCAAAUCCAUUUAGGCCCAAACUUAAUGCACAACUGAAAAAAACAUAUACCCCCAUUUCAGAAAACUGGAUUAGUCAUUUCAAAUUGAUAUGGUGUCUUUGGAUCAAUAUAACCUGACUACAGAUCUGCAGGUAGCCAUCAACUAGUGGCCUACCAUGAUGGGGACCAUCAAGAUGCUCAACACAGACCUGCUCAAAAAUGCAUCAGUAUCUGAUCAGCCCCAGCUUUAAGUACCUUCUGGCUAAGGGCAAGCAAAACUUGGGGACAUCUGAACCCCAAGCCUCUGGGCUUGGGCCUGCAAGUAGGAUGCCCGCCAAAGGAUUUGGAAACAUCUGAAGCCCCAGGGAGGAUGGAGGAUG